rnacentral:SRP_RNA from 1 species
GGCAAACCCGAGAAGGAGGCCGCGUGCGCGCUCCACCUCGCCAAGCCGACCUUCGACCCGGAGCGCGAGCUCGUGAAGCGGCGGGUGUUCCGGGGCGACGACGCGGUGUUCCGGUGCAGGACGUGGAUACUCAGGCAUCCGA